rnacentral:rRNA from 1 species
UGGUGGAGCGAUUUGUCUGGUUAAUUCCGAUAACGAACGAGACUCUAGCCUAUUAAAUAGUUCGCCGAUUUUUCGAGUCGGCGUCAACUUCUUAGAGGGACAAGUGUCGUAUAGCCACACGAGAUUGAGCAAUAACA